rnacentral:tRNA from 1 species
GGCCUUGUAGCUCAAGUGGUUAGAGCGUUGGCUGUACUAAAACCUUUCCCUUGCUGCGUGGUUCGAAUCCCACCGAGGCCA